UGGCUGAGGCCACCACAGAGUCAUAGAAGGUAUUCAGGAGUGGGCCCUCCACUCCAAACGACCUGAGUCUCCACAGCAGGUACAGCCUGCUCUGCCCUUAAUAUAUGCAUAAACAGUAAAAAUCCACAUUUUGUGUCCCAAAUCUUUCUGACACCCUCACUUAUUCUCGACAUUGUUGAAUAUUCAAAAAUGGAGUGUACAAAACAAGCUAGCUACUUUACUGAUGCAAAACAAAUCAACAGCAACACUAACUACUUCCUCCAAAAUCGUUGUAAAAUUGAUUAAUCAUCUCUCGAAAUACAUUUUGAACAAAUAGUGAACAUAAUUUCGUCAGUGAAGGUUUCAUCAGCUGCACAUCUCUUUCCCAUUGAAAUUCCUAAACUCAGUGCAGCGAAUGACCCAAUUAAAGACAUUAAAUGGUGAACAACGUUUACAGAAACUACAGCUGAUCCUAAAUGCAACAGUCAGACUUCUUACUUCUCCGGUGGCGCCAGUGUCCGGUGUUCUGACAAAACGUCCUACCUAUUAAGCUGUCCUACUUGUUGUUACUGCGCAUGCGCACAAUUCAAAACGGCCAUAUUUCCGGUUUAAAUAGUACACGCCUAUUAUUUCAUCCUACCCUGAUCUUGUGCCGAUCUCGUUGCUUCGAAAAAAGUUAUGGAGAACAAAUACGAGGAACUGCUCAUGUUUCUGUCUGUUGGGUCCUACCCAUCUGAAUACGAUAAGUCCCAGAGGCAAACCCUUAGGAGAUACGCCGCAAAAUUCAGGCUGAAGGGCGGAGUGCUCUUGUUUGGAAACAGGAGAGUGAUAAAAACAAAAGAAGAAGCCAUGGGACUAUUUCAAGUCCCAUCGGUGGACACACUGGUGUACUCAAGACUCGAACUGCAAUGUGUUCCAGAUUUUACUGGUAUGGAAUGUCGGUUGACAUUGUUAAUUGGGAAGUUGUCAUUUAUAUUGCAUGUGCAAAAUAUAAAGAGAGCAACCAAGAAUAUAAAUGCAAAAAAUGUAAGGAAAACACGUAACAACUUCAAAUAAAAACAGCUGUCUUUUCCCCUCCAUGUCUCUUUGUAUUCUUUGUCAACAUUAGAUGAUUGUGUGCUGGAGGCAUGUUUUGAUAGUGUGAUUUGGCCACCUGAACGUCCUACCUAAAUAAAUCCAAGCAGGAAGCAUGUUCUGAACGUCCUAGCGAAAUAAAUCCAAGUUUUUAAGUGUGAUUUGGCCAUCUGAACGUCCUACCUAUAGAUAUGUACGAUGGAGCCAUUAACCACGUAAGGUAGCAUAUUCUGAUAAGGUAGCACGGAUUGAUAGACAAGACCAUAAAUUUACGCUACGGUAGCGCUACAGUAGGACGUUUUGUCAGAACACCGGCAGCCUCGCCUCUGUCAGUGCGCCCCAGGGUGGCUGUGGCUACAAUGUAGCUUGCCAUCACCAGUGUGUGAAUGUGUGUGUGAAUGUGUGUGUGAAUGGGUGGAUGACUGAAUGUAGUGUAAAGUGCAAAGGGGUCCAUAGGGACUAAGUAAAGCGCUAUACAAAUGCAGACCAUUUACCAUUUACUUCUUACUUAAAACCAAAAAUAGAGAACACAUGAACCCUGUUUUAGCUUCUUUUCACUGGUGACCUGUUAAUUUGAGAAUUGACUUGAAGAUUUUUUUUGUGAAUUUUCCAAGGCCCUAUGUAGCCCCGCCAUCAAAUCAUAUUUCUAAUCUGCUGACGCUGUACUUGCUCAGCCAUAACCUGAGGUCCUCAUUACUUUUUUACUCAAACUGUUACCUAAUUUAAUAUAAAGAUCCAGAUUUCUGACCUCAAAACCUAAAAUCAGACCACA